GACGAACGCUGGCGGCGUGCUUAACACAUGCAAGUCGAACGGUAAGGCCCUUCGGGGUACACGAGUGGCGAACGGGUGAGUAACACGUGGGUGAUCUGCCCUGCACUUCGGGAUAAGCCUGGGAAACUGGGUCUAAUACCGGAUAGGACCCUGGGAUGCAUGUCCUGGGGUGGAAAGCUUUUGCGGUGUGGGAUGGGCCCGCGGCCUAUCAGCUUGUUGGUGGGGUGAUGGCCUACCAAGGCGACGACGGGUAGCCGGCCUGAGAGGGUGACCGGCCACACUGGGACUGAGAUACGGCCCAGACUCCUACGGGAGGCAGCAGUGGGGAAUAUUGCACAAUGGGCGCAAGCCUGAUGCAGCGACGCCGCGUGAGGGAUGACGGCCUUCGGGUUGUAAACCUCUUCCAGCACCGACGAAGCGCAAGUGACGGUAGGUGCAGAAGAAGGACCGGCCAACUACGUGCCAGCCGCCGCGGUAG
rnacentral:rRNA from 1 species